rnacentral:lncRNA from 1 species
UUGUUGUUGUUGUUUGUUUGUUUGUUUGUUUGUUUUUGUCAAUUUGACUCAAGCAAAGCUCAUCUGAGAAGAGGAACUUCAAUUGAGAAAAUGCCUCCUCCAUCAGAUUGCCUCCUCCAUCAGAUUGCCUCCUCCAUCAGAUUGCCUGUAGACAGUACUGUCUGGAACUAGCACUUCCUGCCUGAGACUCUUGGCUUCUGGGUGUGGAUGCUCAUCGGUUUUCAGACGGGAUAGCAAACAACAGGACACAUCUGAAUGUGGAGGUGAGGUCUGGCUCCACCCUGUGCCUGCUGGAAGAUCAGGCUGCAAUGGAAGGGCUCCACACCUUAACCUCUCCCCCUGUCGGCAAGGAAUCACCUGACUGAAGAGCUGUACCGGCUGGCUGACUUGAUUGGUGCAGGAAGACCCACCCCCAUUGUGGGCAGCACACUCUGUUAGCAGUCCACACAAAACAGCUGUGGCACAAGAAAUGUGGCCUGACUUUGCUCGCUUGCCUUUCACUCUUGCCUUUCACUCUUGCCAUCUGUGUUGGUUGAGACUGCCAAUUGUUUCAGUGAUGCCACACCCAGCGUCAGGCCCUCUUGAACACUUCCAGGUUUUCAGUGCCAUAUUGAGACUAUUGAGUCAUCCAGCCUCAGGAACAAGCAACUACUAGGUUUUCAAACUCUGGUAUGAUUCAGCUGUUUGUCACUAUUUC